CCAGCAAGAGGAGCUUUCCCGGCUUACUCGGCUGGGAAGGCCGAGUUUCUGGAGCCGUAGAAGAGGAUUCUCAAAGAUAAUGAGGACAGAAAGCAGUUGGUAUUCCACAUGACAGUCGUGCCGCUAUUGUACCACUGGAGACAUCUUGCUCGGAGAUUCUGCUGUGUAGCGGUCAGCAUUCACACUCAGCUAAGAGGGACAGCUGGAAACAACAAACAUUGUCACAUCUUCUUCAAUGGAUCCACUUCUGAUCUUUGAAAAUCCUUUGAAAAGCCUCCAGUGAAAAUGCAAACUUCCCAGCUAAGUGAAGAGGGAGAUGUUGUCAUUUCUAACACUGAGACAAGAGGGAGAUGAUUCAAACCCAAGUAAAGAGUCAAAAUU
rnacentral:lncRNA from 1 species